GCACUGCUAAAGAAUCCCAUAAUAGGAUGAAACGGCCGUCCAGUGU
rnacentral:hammerhead_ribozyme from 1 species